rnacentral:rRNA from 1 species
GACGAACGCUGGCGGCGUGCUUAACACAUGCAAGUCGAGCGGUAAGGCUCCUUCGGGAGUACACGAGCGGCGAACGGGUGAGUAACACGUGAGUAAUCUGCCCUUCACUUCGGGAUAACCACCGGAAACGGUGGCUAAUACCGAAUACGACCAGUCUUCGCAUGAGGUGCUGGUGGAAAGUCUUUUCGGUGAAGGAUGUGCUCGCGGCCUAUCAGCUUGUUGGUGGGGUAAUGGCCUACCAAGGCUUCGACGGGUAGCCGGCCUGAGAGGGUGACCGGCCACGCUGGGACUGAGACACGGCCCAGACUCCUACGGGAGGCAGCAGUGGGGAAUAGUGGACGAUGGGCGAAAGCCUGAUCCAGCAACGCCGCGUGAGGGAUGACGGCCUUCGGGUUGUAAACCUCUUUCAGUACCGACGAAGCGCCCUGUCGGGUGGUGACGGUAGGUACAGAAGAAGGACCGGCCAACUACGUG